CUCCACAGCAGUUUCAUUGUCGUUGGCCUUUAACAUGAUUUUUCUACGAUUUUCUUCUCUUCUAACUGCUGCAAACCCUUCUCAUGUAGUUCGUAAUGGUUGCCCGCCUAGUAUUCUUUCCCUGGCAUCAUCCAAAUCGCGGUUGAGGCCUGCUAGAAACUCAAAAACCCUUUCGUUCUCUACCCCUUUUAGAGCGUACACAAUCACUGAUACAUUCCCAUUCUUCCUAAGAAUGAGGUCGAGUUCUUGCCACAAGUUUGUCAUCUCAAGGAAAUAAUCUAUAACCUCUCUCUCCCCCCUUGUUUGGUUUGCCACAAUCGAGUCUUUAUCUCGAAGAUUUGUGAGGCAUUUUCUCCAUCGAAGUAUGUCUCCUUCACUGCCUUCGCGACUUCCUCCACCAUCCGUAGGAAUAGGUAAGUUUUACCUAUGGACGAAAUCGUGGAAUUAACAAGCUAGGCGGUUAUCAAUGAAUUUUCCAAUUUCCAUUUUUGAAGAGUGGUCUUUGUUGGUUUCUUGGUCUCGCCAAUGAGGUAACCAAGCUUCCCUUUGCUUUCGAUCAUUAAUUUGAUAGAUUGGGCCCACUCUAAAAAAUUUCUUCCAUUCAGUUUUUUGAUAGUGAGCUGAAAGGAUGAAUUUCGGUGUGGUGGGAGCCCAUAGAGGAUCUGGCAUCAGUUUCAUUCUAAAAAACUUCUGUGGUGGUAGAAUUCUUACUGUUUUUUGUCAUGACUUUGAUACCAUGUAGAAGAUAAUGAACCACACUUUUUUCUAUGUGGAUUAAUUUUAUUAAUCCUUGGGUCCUG
rnacentral:lncRNA from 1 species